rnacentral:lncRNA from 1 species
CGUUUUUUAAAAAUGUGGAACUAGAAAAUUAAAAAUUACAUUGUGGCUUGCAUUAUAUUUCUAUUGGACAGUAGAAUUUGAAGCACCUGGCAAGAAGAUAAAAUAACUUUUCAUAAAGAUGGAGACUUGCCAUGAAUGAAACCAGGCACCUUGUGGAACAAGUCCUUGUAACAAAAUCUUCACCUCUCUUGAGAAAUUGCUUUGGAAAGACCAUUUGGGGACAGGCAUUGACACCCCCAGUUUCGGCAUGAGGAUGGUGAAUUUGGUGUCAAUAUAAUUUGUAAAGUCACAGCAGCCUCCUUGGCAUCCUGAGUGAAGAAUUUUGAGAACCACUGCCAUACCGUGCCUACGUUGACCUCCACGCUCUGGUUGUGUGGGGAAAAUAACGAAUUAGGUUCGUGGGCACUGGCACUUAGAUUUUCCCCUUCCCUGCCAAUGAAAGCACUUCCACCUGAUGCUUUUGGGGAAAAUGCGGGAGGAAAUGAGGUGGGGAUGUUGUUUAUAGAAGGCCAAGUACUCCAGGAUAUGACACUACGGACCGCAUAGCUCCCCAGAUUUUGGAGAGUAAUGUUUUCCAUUGCUGUUGUAUAACAAAUUACCAUAAACUCAGGGACUUAAAACAACAUAAAUUUAUUCUCUUACAGCCCUGGUGGUCAGAAUUCUGAAAUCAAGUCGUCAGCAGGGAUGGCCCCUUCUGAAGGUUCAGGUGAGAACCCUUUUUCCACCUUUUUCAGCUUGUAGAGGCCGCCUGCCUUCCUUGGCUCGAGAUCCCCGCCUCGCAUCACUCCGACCACUGUUUACUUCCAUGGUCACAACUCCUACUGUCUGACCCUGUGU